AUGGUGAAACCGCGAAUGGCUCAUUAAAUCAGCUAUGGUUCCUUAGAUCUUACAUCCUUACUUGGAUAACUGUAGUAAUUCUAGAGCUAAUACAUGCCGUCAAUCCCUGACUUUAUAGGAAGGGUGGAUUUAUUAGAACAAAACCAACCGGCUUCGGCCGUUGGCUUGAUGACUCUGGAUAACUUUUCUGAUCGCACGGCCAAGCGCCAGCGACGUAUCUUUCAAAUGUCUGCCCUAUCAACUUUCGAUGGUAGGUGAUAUGCCUACCAUGGUUAUGACGGGUAACGGGGAAUCAGGGUUCGAUUCCGGAGAGGGAGCCUUAGAAAUGGCUACCACAUCUAAGGAAGGCAGCAGGCGCGCAAAUUACCCACUCUCAGCUCGAGGAGGUAGUGACGAAAAAUAACGAUAUGAGACUCAUACGAGGCCUCAUAAUUGGAAUGAGUACAAUUUAAAUCCUUUAACGAGGAACAAUUGGAGGGCAAGUCUGGUGCCAGCAGCCGCGGUAACUCCAGCUCCAAUAGCAUAUAU
rnacentral:rRNA from 1 species